GAUGAACGCUGGCAGCGUGCCUAAUACAUGCAAGUCGAGCGAAUGGAUUAAGAGCUUGCUCUUAUGAAGUUAGCGGCGGACGGGUGAGUAACACGUGGGUAACCUGCCCAUAAGACUGGGAUAACUCCGGGAAACCGGGGCUAAUACCGGAUAAUAUUUUGAACUGCAUGGUUCAAAAUUGAAAGGCGGCUUCGGCUGUCACUUAUGGAUGGACCCGCGUCGCAUUAGCUAGUUGGUGGGGUAACGGCUAACCAAGGCAACGAUGCGUAGCCGACCUGAGAGGGUGAUCGGCCACACUGGGACUGAGACACGGCCCAGACUCCUACGGGAGGCAGCAGUAGGGAAUCUUCCGCAAUGGACGAAAGUCUGACGGAGCAACGCCGCGUGAGUGAUGAAGGCUUUCGGGUCGUAAAACUCUGUUGUUAGGGAAGAACAAGUGCUAGUUGAAUAAGCUGGCACCUUGACGGUACCUAACCAGAAAGCCACGGCUAACUACGUGCCAGCCGCCGCAGUAA
rnacentral:rRNA from 1 species